rnacentral:rRNA from 1 species
UACGUAGGGUGCAAGCGUUAAUCGGAAUUACUGGGCGUAAAGGGUGCGUAGGCGGUUAUUUAAGUCUGCCGUGAAAUCCCCGGGCUCAACCUGGGAAUGGCGGUGGAUACUGGAUAGCUAGAGUGUGUCAGAGGAUGGUGGAAUUCCCGGUGUAGCGGUGAAAUGCGUAGAGAUCGGGAGGAACAUCAGUGGCGAAGGCGGCCAUCUGGGACAACACUGACGCUGAAGCACGAAAGCGUGGGGAGCAAACAGG